GCGGAGGAAAAGAAAAUAACAAUGAUUCCCUCAGUAACGGCGAGUGAACAGGGAAAAGCUCAAAGUUGGAACCUGGUGGGCCUAGCCUACCCGGAUUGUAAACUAAAGUUUUUGGGUCGUUUAGUCAGCCAGAUAAAUAAGUCCUCUGGAAAGGGGCGACAUAGAGGGUGAAAUCCCCGUCUUUGGUCUGAGCAUGAUUAGGCGUUUGGCCUGGAAACGAAGAGUCAGGUUGUUUGGGAAUGCAGCCUAAAAUGGGAGGUAAAUCUCUCCUAAAGCUAAAUAUUGACGAAAGACCGAUAGCGAACAAGUACCGUGAGGGAAAGAUGAAAAGCACUUUGAAAAGAGGGUCAAAAAGUACGUGAAAUUGCUGAAAGGGAACCGUAUAAAAUCAGACUUACUGGUAGGUAAUCAACCUUCCUCUCGGGGAGGGUGCACUUGCCUGCUAUUGUAUGCCAGCAAUACUUUGGUUGGGAGGAAAAAAGUAGGAGAAAUGUAGCCUGGGUUUCGGCUUAGGUGUUAUAGUCUCUUGCAAAAUACUCUCGGCUGGAGUAAGGAACGCAGCAAACCGUAAGGCGAAGAUUUUGGGCGCUUGGAGUUAAUAGUUGGAGAAUUUCUGCUUCGGGUGGUGCUUCAGCUAUUGAUUUUAACUCGCUUAAAGUUCUUUUAAUUUGCUUAGGUUGUUGGCUUAAUGAUUUUAUAUGAC
rnacentral:rRNA from 2 species